UACGUAGGGUGCAAGCGUUGUCCGGAAUUAUUGGGCGUAAAGAGCUCGUAGGCGGCUUGUCACGUCUGCUGUGAAAACUCGGGGCUCAACCCCGAGCCUGCAGUGGAUACGGGCUAGCUAAAGUGCGGUAGGGGAGACUGGAAUUCCUGGUGUAGCGGUGAAAUGCGCAGAUAUCAGGAGGAACACCGGUGGCGAAGGCGGGUCUCUGGACCGAUACUGACGCUGAGGAGCGAAAGCGUGGGGAGCGAACAGG
rnacentral:rRNA from 1 species